rnacentral:rRNA from 1 species
UACGUAGGGGCCUAGCGUUGUCCGGAUUUAUUGGGCGUAAAGAGCUCGUAGGCGGUUCGGUAAGUCAGGUGUGAAAUCUCCACGCUCAACGUGGAGGCGCCACCUGAAACUGCCGUGACUCGAGUCCGGUAGGGGAGUGUGGAAUUCCUGGUGUAGCGGUGAAAUGCGCAGAUAUCAGGAGGAACACCGGUGGCGAAGGCGGAUCUCUGGGCCUUACCUGACGCUGAGGCGCGAAAGCUAGGGGAGCGAACAGG